AGUCGAGCGCAUCCUUCACAAGAUGAGUGGCGGACGGGUGAGUAACGCGUGAGAAUCUGCCUUCAGGACUGGGACAACCACUGGAAACGGUGGCUAAUACCAGAUAUGCAGUGAGUGAAAAGGUUUAUUCCGCCUGAAGAUGAGCUCGCGUCAGAUUAGCUAGUUGGUGAGGUAACGGCUUACCAAGGCAUCGAUCUGUAGCUGGUCUGAGAGGAUGACCAGCCACACUGGGACUGAGAGACGGCCCAGACUCCUACGGGAGGCAGCAGUGAGGAAUUUUCCGCAAUGGGCGCAAGCCUGACGGAGUAAUACCGCGUGCGGGAGGAAGGUCUAUUGACUGUAAACCGCUUUUAUUAAGAAAGAAUUCUGACGGUACUUAAUGAAUAAGCCUCGGCUAACUCCGUGCCAGCAGCCGCGGUAAUACGGAGGAGGCAAGCGUUAUCCGGAAUUAUUGGGCGUAAAGCGUCCGUAGGUGGUUUUGCAAGUCGGCUGUCAAAGCCCGUGGCUCAACCACGGAAAGGCAGUGGAAACUACAAAACUCGAGUGCAGUAGGGGCAGAGGGAAUUCCCAGUGUAGCGGUGAAAUGCGUAGAGAUUGGGAAGAACACCCGUGGCGAAAGCGCUCUGCUGGACUGCAACUGACACUAAGGGACGAAAGCUAGGGGAGCGAAUGGGAUUAGAUACCCCAGUAGUCCUAGCCGUAAACGAUGGAUACUAG
rnacentral:rRNA from 1 species